UACGUAGGGGGCAAGCGUUGUCCGGAUUUAUUGGGCGUAAAGGGUGCGUAGGCGGUUGGGUAAGUUUGAUGUGAAAUCUCACAGCUUAACUGUGAAACUGCAUUGGAUACUAUCCGGCUAGAGGAAUGGAGGGGAGACUGGAAUACUUGGUGUAGCAGUGAAAUGCGUAGAUAUCAAGUGGAACACCAGUGGCGAAGGCGAGUCUCUGGACAUUUCCUGACGCUGAGGCACGAAAGCCAGGGGAGCAAACGGG
rnacentral:rRNA from 1 species